CCUACGGGGGGCUGCAGUGGGGAAUAUUGGACAACGGGGGCAACCCUGAUCCAGCCAUGCCGCGUGUGUGAAGAAGGCCCUCGGGUUGUAAAGCACUUUCAGUGAGGAAGAACGCCUGGUGGUUAAUACCCAUCAGGAAAGACAUCACUCACAGAAGAAGCACCGGCUAACUCCGUGCCAGCAGCCGCGGUAAUACGGAGGGUGCGAGCGUUAAUCGGAAUUACUGGGCGUAAAGCGCGCGUAGGUGGCUUGAUAAGCCGGUUGUGAAAGCCCCGGGCUCAACCUGGGAACGGCAUCCGGAACUGUCAAGCUAGAGUGCAGGAGAGGAAGGUAGAAUUCCCGGUGUAGCGGUGAAAUGCGUAGAGAUCGGGAGGAAUACCAGUGGCGAAGGCGGCCUUCUGGACUGACACUGACACUGAGGUGCGAAAGCGUGGGUAGCAAACAGGAUUAGAUACCCUGGUAGUC
rnacentral:rRNA from 1 species